rnacentral:rRNA from 1 species
ACACUGAAACAAUUAAAAUUAUUUUUAAAAUUUUAAUUUAGUGUUUAUAUUCUUAUUUUAGGUGAGUGAUUUAUUUUAAGAAAAGUAAUUUAAUUGAGUAGUGUUUUAGUAAUUAUUUUGAAUAGAUUGAUUUUUAAAUAUAUAAUGUAUUGUGAAAGACUAAUUUUAUAUAUAAUUAAGUAAGUUACUAUUUUACCUUUUGUAUCAGGGUUUAUUAAAUAAUUAGUAUGAAUUAUACUAAUCUCGAAGCUAAAAGAGCUAAUUAUAAAUUAUUUUUUAUGUAGAAUAAUAAUUAUAAAUUUAUAAUUAGAAGUGAAAUGUUAUUCGGUUUUAAUGAUAUCUAGUUUUUUUUGAAAUGAAUUUAAUUCAUAUAUUUAAUUAAUAAAUAAUAUUAAUUUUUAUUUCUGUUAAAUAUAAAAAAUCUAUGGGAUAACCUAUAGGUUUAGUGUACAAUUGUUUAAUUGAAAUUGUAGAGUUGUGGUUUUAAAAUUUAAUUCCAUUAGAGAUAAUUUAAUAAUUUAUUAUGUGGUUGAAAAGAUUUUAGUUGUAUUGAUGUAUAUAUUUAAAAUAAAUUAUAUGAGAAUGAAUUAUAUAUAGUUAUAAUGAUAAAAUUAGUAAUUGUUUUAGUUAACAUUAUUUUUGUAUAAGAAUAAGUUGAAGGAACUCGGCAAAUUAAUAGUAUUCACCUGUUUAUCAAAAACAUGUCUUUUUGUUGUAUGAUUUAAAGUCUGCUCUGCCCAAUGAAUUUAAUUAAAUGGCUGCAGUAUAUUGACUGUACAAAGGUAGCAUAAUAAUUAGUCUUUUUAUUGAAGGCUGGAAUGAAUGAGUUGAUGAAAUACUUACUGUCUCCAAUUUAAAUUAUUAAUUUAAAUUUUAAGUAAAAAUGCUUAAAUUUUUGUAUGGGACGAGAAGACCCUAUAGAAUUUUAUAAUUUAUUUUAAGUCUAACCUUCACUUAAAGUAAAUUAUUUUGUUGGGAGGAUAUUUAAAUUUAUUAAACUUUAAAAUUUUAAUUCAAUUAUUUUUGUUUAGUAAGAUAGUUUAUUAGAAAUUGUUAGAUUAAAUUACCUUAGGGAUAACAGCGUAAUAUCUUUGGAGAGUUCAUAUUUAUAAAGAUGAUUGCGACCUCGAUGUUGAAUUAAGAUACAAUUUAAAUGCAGGAGUUUAAAUUUUAAGUCUGUUCGACUUUUAAUAUCUUACAUGAUUUGAGUUCAGAUCGGCGUGAGCCAGAUCGGUUUCUAUCUAUAUUUAUGUAAUAAAUUUUUGUACGAAAGGACUUAAUUUGUAAAUUAUUUAAUUUUUUGUGUAUAUUAAGAUUAAUAAAUGAAUUACUUCCUUGGCAGAAUAGUGCGUUAAAUUUAGAAUUUAAAAUAU